AAAAAUUGAGCGAUUUCCAUGAGUCGCAACUCAAUGAAUAUACAUCAACUUUAGUUUGUAAAAGAUACUGAGAUUGUCUGAAAAUAACUUAUAGCGUCUUUGUAAAAUCUUCCAGAAAAUAAAAGAAAGUAAGGUUCUCGAAACAAUUGUAAGAAAAUAUUCAUUUUAAUAUAUAUUUCCUGUUCGUAUUUAUGAGAGCAAUUAAUAUCUUUCAUUCAUAAUAUUAUCAUCAUCCCAAAUUACACCAAGAUAUAACAUCAUCACAUAUAUGUUUUACUUAAUCAUAAAUCACUGACAUAUGUUAAUCAUAUAUGCCAUGAAAGUAUGAACUUGUAUCUAUGCAUGCAUGCAUCUCUGUUUCUCUUUCUUUUGCUAUUGUGAACAGUUCACUGUAUAAUGCCCGUGUUUCCACAUGUCCUCAAAGGAUCCAUGUGUGUCUGGCCAGCUCCGUCUAUGUCCGACUAUGGAAAUCGGCUCCGUCUAUGUCCGACAUAAGUCGGCCCCGUCUAUGGCUGACAUAUAGUCUGCUCCGUAAUUACCCGUAGGUUCCAUAUAUAAAGGUGGCCAUUACACAAGUGACUGUCACUUUGACUUUUUAAGUUAACACUGUCAAAUGAAUGUAGGAUGUGCAUAUG
rnacentral:lncRNA from 1 species